GCCGAGCGAGACCGCUGAAUCAGAAACUCCUGGGCGGGGCUGGCACUGUGUCUUAAUAAGCCCAUCAGAGGUUUGCUUGGCGAUGGUGGGGUUCUUUACUUGCCAGGGAAGAAUGCUCUCAUCAGGUGGCUGUCAGUGUCCGCGCUCUUUAAGAAAACUGAUGUUUCAGGAGAGAUUUGAAGGAUGAGGGAGACGGAGGGCAGGAGUCCAACGACGGAAGUGGAGUGAGGGCGACGCCCCACAGGAGAAGGAGAAAUAAUCUCUCUUGAGAAUACACCAGUGUUGAAAAUUUCCCCAAGGAUGGAGCUUCAGACAGUUGGAGAAACUGGAAAACACACACGUG